rnacentral:rRNA from 1 species
GAUGAACGCUGGCGGCGUGCUUAACACAUGCAAGUCGAACGAAGCAUUUAGAACAGAUUACUUCGGUUUGAAGUUCUUUAUGACUGAGUGGCGGACGGGUGAGUAACGCGUGGGUAACCUGCCUUGUACUGGGGGAUAGCAGCUGGAAACGGCUGGUAAUACCGCAUAAGCGCACAAUGUUGCAUGACAUGGUGUGAAAAACUCCGGUGGUAUAAGAUGGACCCGCGUCUGAUUAGCUAGUUGGUGAGAUAACAGCCCACCAAGGCGACGAUCAGUAGCCGACCUGAGAGGGUGACCGGCCACAUUGGGACUGAGACACGGCCCAGACUCCUACGGGAGGCAGCAGUGGGGAAUAUUGCACAAUGGAGGAAACUCUGAUGCAGCGACGCCGCGUGAGUGAAGAAGUAAUUCGUUGUGUAAAGCUCUAUCAGCAGGGAAGAUAGUGACGGUACCUGACUAAGAAGCUCCGGCUAAAUACGUG